rnacentral:rRNA from 3 species
CGGGACACGUGGUAUCCUGUCUGAAUAUGGGGGGACCAUCCUCCAAGGCUAAAUACUCCUGACUGACCGAUAGUGAACCAGUACCGUGAGGGAAAGGCGAAAAGAACCCCGGCGAGGGGAGUGAAAAAGAACCUGAAACCGUGUACGUACAAGCAGUGGGAGCCUCUUAAUGGGGUGACUGCGUACCUUUUGUAUAAUGGGUCAGCGACUUAUAUUCUGUAGCAAGGUUAACCGAAUAGGGGAGCCGAAGGGAAACCGAGUCUUAACUGGGCGUUAAGUUGCAGGGUAUAGACCCGAAACCCGGUGAUCUAGCCAUGGGCAGGUUGAAGGUUGGGUAACACUAACUGGAGGACCGAACCGACUAAUGUUGAAAAAUUAGCGGAUGACUUGUGGCUGGGGGUGAAAGGCCAAUCAAACCGGGAGAUAGCUGGUUCUCCCCGAAAGCUAUUUAGGUAGCGCCUCGUGAAUUCAUCUCCGGGGGUAGAGCACUGUUUCGGCAAGGGGGUCAUCCCGACUUACCAACCCGAUGCAAACUGCGAAUACCGGAGAAUGUUAUCACGGGAGACACACGGCGGGUGCUAACGUCCGUCGUGAAGAGGGAAACAACCCAGACCGCCAGCUAAGGUCCCAAAGUCAUGGUUAAGUGGGAAACGAUGUGGGAAGGCCCAGACAGCCAGGAUGUUGGCUUAGAAGCAGCCAUCAUUUAAAGAAAGCGUAAUAGCUCACUGGUCGAGUCGGCCUGCGCGGAAGAUGUAACGGGGCUAAACCAUG